rnacentral:piRNA from 1 species
UAACAUACUUCAAGAAAACCAAAGAAAGAAA